UAGAGACCAACUAAGUUUGUUCUGGGUAUAAGCUUUCGUGUGCAUGCACACUUCUUCAGAUACCUGAAGAAUGCACACAAAAGCUUAUACCCAGAACAAAAUUAGUUGGUCUCUA